UAGGGAAUCUUCCACAAUGGGCGGAAAGCCUGAUGGAGCAACGCCGCGUGAGUGAAGAAGGGUUUCGGCUCGUAAAGCUCUGUUGUUAAAGAAGAACGUGGGUAAGAGUAACUGUUUACCCAGUGACGGUAUUUAACCAGAAAGCCACGGCUAACUACGUGCCGG
rnacentral:rRNA from 1 species